GACGAACGCUGGCGGCGUGCUUAACACAUGCAAGUCGAACGGAAAGGCCCUGCUUUUGUGGGGUGCUCGAGUGGCGAACGGGUGAGUAACACGUGAGUAACCUGCCCUUGUCUUUGGGAUAACUUCAGGAAACUGGGGCUAAUACCGGAUAGGAGCUCCUGCUGCAUGGUGGGGGUUGGAAAGUUUCGGCGGUUGGGGAUGGACUCGCGGCUUAUCAGCUUGUUGGUGGGGUAGUGGCUUACCAAGGCUUUGACGGGUAGCCGGCCUGAGAGGGUGACCGGCCACAUGGGGACUGAGAGACGGCCCAGACUCCUACGGGAGGCAGCAGUGGGGAAUAUUGCACAAUGGGCGGAAGCCUGAUGCAGCAACGCCGCGUGCGGGAUGACGGCCUUCGGGUUGUAAACCGCUUUCGCCUGUGACGAAGCGUGAGUGACGGUAAUGGGUAAAGAAGCACCGGCUAACUACGUG
rnacentral:rRNA from 1 species